UCGCGGGCUAUCAGCUUGUUGGUGGGGUAAUGGCCUACCAAGGCGCCGACGGGUAGCCGGCCUGAGAGGGUGGACGGCCACAUUGGGACUGAGAUACGGCCCAGACACCUACGGGAGGCAGCAGUGGGGAAUAUUGCACAAUGGGCGCAAGCCUGAUGCAGCGACGCCGCGUGGGGGAUGACGGCCUUCGGGUUGUAAACUCCUUUCGCUAGGGACGAAGCUUUUUGUGACGGUGCCUAGAUAAGAAGCACCGGCUAACUACGUGCCAGCAGCCGCGGUAAUACGUAGGGUGCGAGCGUUGUCCGGAAUUACUGGGCGUAAAGGGCUCGUAGGUGGUUUGUCGCGUCGUCUGUGAAAUUCCGGGGCUUAACUCCGGGCGUGCAGGCGAUACGGGCAUAACUUGAGUACUGUAGGGGUAACUGGAAUUCCUGGUGUAGCGGUGAAAUGCGCAGAUAUCAGGAGGAACACCGAUGGCGAAGGCAGGUUACUGGGCAGUUACUGACGCUGAGGAGCGAAAGCAUGGGUAACGAACAGGAUUAGAUACCCUGGUAGUCCAUGCCGUAAACGGUGGGCGCUAGGUGUGAGGGUCUUUUCACGACUUUCGUGCCGUAGCUAACGCAUUAAGCGCCCCGCCUGGGGAGUACGGA
rnacentral:rRNA from 1 species